rnacentral:rRNA from 1 species
CCUGGCUCACGAUGAACGCUAGCUACAGCGCUUAACACAUGCAAGUCGAGGGGCAGCAUGGUCUUAGCUUGCUAAGGCCGAUGGCGACCGGCGCACGGGUGAGUAACACGUAUCCAACCUGCCGUCUACUCUUGGACAGCCUUCUGAAAGGAAGAUUAAUACAAGAUGGCAUCAUGAGUCCGCAUGUUCACAUGAUUAAAGGUAUUCCGGUAGACGAUGGGGAUGCGUUCCAUUAGAUAGUAGGCGGGGUAACGGCCCACCUAGUCUUCGAUGGAUAGGGGUUCUGAGAGGAAGGUCCCCCACAUUGGAACUGAGACACGGUCCAAACUCCUACGGGAGGCAGCAGUGAGGAAUAUUGGUCAAUGGGCGAGAGCCUGAACCAGCCAAGUAGCGUGAAGGAUGACUGCCCUAUGGGUUGUAAACUUCUUUUAUAAAGGAAUAAAGUCGGGUAUGGAUACCCGUUUGCAUGUACUUUAUGAAUAAGGAUCGGCUAACUCCGUGCCAGCAGCCGCGGUAAUACGGAGGAUCCGAGCGUUAUCCGGAUUUAUUGGGUUUAAAGGGAGCGUAGAUGGAUGUUUAAGUCAGUUGUGAAAGUUUGCGGCUCAACCGUAAAAUUGCAGUUGAUACUGGAUAUCUUGAGUGCAGUUGAGGCAGGCGGAAUUCGUGGUGUAGCGGUGAAAUGCUUAGAUAUCACGAAGAACUCCGAUUGCGAAGGCAGCCUGCUAAGCUGCAACUGACAUUGAGGCUCGAAAGUGUGGGUAUCAAACAGGAUUAGAUACCCUGGUAGUCCACACGGUAAACGAUGAAUACUCGCUGUUUGCGAUAUACAGCAAGCGGCCAAGCGAAAGCGUUAAGUAUUCCACCUGGGGAGUACGCCGGCAACGGUGAAACUCAAAGGAAUUGACGGGGGCCCGCACAAGCGGAGGAACAUGUGGUUUAAUUCGAUGAUACGCGAGGAACCUUACCCGGGCUUAAAUUGCAGAUGAAUUACGGUGAAAGCCGUAAGCCGCAAGGCAUCUGUGAAGGUGCUGCAUGGUUGUCGUCAGCUCGUGCCGUGAGGUGUCGGCUUAAGUGCCAUAACGAGCGCAACCCUUGUUGUCAGUUACUAACAGGUUCCGCUGAGGACUCUGACAAGACUGCCAUCGUAAGAUGUGAGGAAGGUGGGGAUGACGUCAAAUCAGCACGGCCCUUACGUCCGGGGCUACACACGUGUUACAAUGGGGGGUACAGAGGGCCGCUACCACGCGAGUGGAUGCCAAUCCCCAAAACCUCUCUCAGUUCGGACUGGAGUCUGCAACCCGACUCCACGAAGCUGGAUUCGCUAGUAAUCGCGCAUCAGCCACGGCGCGGUGAAUACGUUCCCGGGCCUUGUACACACCGCCC